AGUGAACGCUGGCGGUAGGCCUAACACAUGCAAGUCGAACGGCAGCACAGUAAGAGCUUGCUCUUACGGGUGGCGAGUGGCGGACGGGUGAGGAAUACAUCGUAAUCUACUUUUUCGUGGGGGAUAACGUAGGGAAACUUACGCUAAUACCGCAUACGACCUACGGGUGAAAGCAGGGGAUCUUCGGACCUUGCGCGAUUGAAUGAGCCGAUGUCGGAUUAGCUAGUUGGCGGGGUAAAGGCCCACCAAGGGGACGAUCCGUAGCUGGUCUGAGAGGAUGAUCGGCCACACUGGAACUGAGACACGGUCCAGACUCCUACGGGAGGCAGCAGUGGGGAAUAUUAGGCAAUGGGGGCAAGCCUGAUCCAGCCAUACCGCGUGGGUGAAGAAGGCGUUCGGGUUGUAAAGCCCUUUUGUUGGGAGAGAAAAGCAGCAGGUUAAUACGCCGCUGUUCUGACGGUACCCAAAGAAUAAGCACCGGCUAACUUCGUG
rnacentral:rRNA from 1 species